GUAAACCUUUGCAGCAGCCGGUUUGACUAUCGUUGCAGUUUUUUAAACCUUCGAUAACAUUUAAUCAACUAUUCCAAGUAAUACUAUCAGACUUCAAAAGCUAUAAAAAUGAAAAUUGCCUAUGUUUUAAUAUCACUAAUCUGCGUAAAUGUUUUGGCAGAUACAAGUAUAAG